UACGGGGGGGGCAAGCGUUGUUCGGAAUUACUGGGCGUAAAGGGCUCGUAGGCGGCCAACUAAGUCAGACGUGAAAUCCCUCGGCUUAACCGGGGAACUGCAUCUGAUACUGGAUGGCUUGAGUUCGGGAGAGGUGAGUGGAACUGCGAGUGUAGAGGUGAAAUUCGUAGAUAUUCGGAAGAACACCAGUGGCGAAGGCGGCUCACUGGUCCGGUACUGACGCUGAUGUGCGAAAGCGUGGGGAGCAAACAGG
rnacentral:rRNA from 1 species